ACCUGUUGUAGGAAUGAAGUCUAUAUUGUGUAUCGGAUUGAAGUUCUUACAAGGCUACAUUCAGACCCUACUGGGAACUCUAGCAAUUGGAGGACUGGACGAAGUUGGUUUUUUCAUCAGGUCCGCUCAAACUGUGUACUUCUCCAACAUCGCAAGUUCCUUCGGCAAGUAAAUGUCCGUGAGUCGUAUACAGAUAUUUCUCCGAACAUGUGGGAAUUUCAGUUGGCACGCAUUCAGUGCAGAACUCGUUAUUCCAUACACACUCAUGGGGUGAGAAUGUUUUUGUAUGUGGCUUAGCAGGGUUUUCUUGCUUCGAGGGGUUGUGAAACAGGAGUCGAAUACGGUGCGACUCGGCUGAUAGAUCGACCUAGUUCAUAAUUCGAUUGCGACGAGAGAAGGUAUGGUGUUUGUUUGCGCCGAAUUUGAGCUCUUUCCUAUACAUGGUGUUUUCUUCCCCUGCGAACAGUGUUAAAGUUGAUACAAGCAGCGGAGCUUUGUUUUCAACAGUACGCGGCCUGCAAAUCACAGGCAAUCGAUUUUUCGGCCAUAGCGGCGUUCGGUUAUCGACGGUUUUACCCCCAUCUUUGGUAAGACGGUGUUGUUAUCAAUUAAUCAAAUAUAUUCACACUUGUCAGACUUCUAUAUUUGCAGGUCCGGCGGCAGGGAGAGGCCUACCUCGCUGGGAGCUAGCUGGUCGGUCAGACCUAAAACCACAGACCAGCUGGAAAAAGUGUCACUGGCAGACCUAGAAUUUGGAGCAGAAGAGAUUGGAGAUGACGACGACGAUGAUGAUGAUUUUGAUGAUGGAAAGAGUGUUGGUUUAGGAGUCUUGUUUCCACCUGACGAAGGAUUCUACAUGCAUGGUGUAUAUGGAAAGGCUUACAGCACUAGCUCAAACCAAAAUAGAUGUAAAAUGCAACAAGAAAAAUUGCAAAGAAUUGGUAGAAAGAAUUCAAUCCCAAAAAGGAUCUGCUGUCUACCUCACAUGAGAACUAUGGGGAGCUACUCUACACCAUUGUGUUAACGAACAUCAGUGGGCUUUGGCUUAUGGCAAAUCAGGCUUUGGUCAAUACAGUCACUGACAAAUAGCCGAAGCAGACCGAGACCAGGAAUGUUUAGAAAAGGGAAGUGCAGCUCACAAUGCACUCUGAAGGAUUGUAUUGGAUACUAGGUUUCUGCGUCAGGUGCCUUACUACUUGAACUUCAGAUACCAGAGAAAUUUCAACAAAAAUAACUAGCAGGUAGGCUGUACAUACCGCCAAGGAAGAGAAGUCGUACACUUAUGUUGAAGGACUUUUAGAAUCUGGAGUGGAGAACCGUUUGGCAGAUCGAGUUAGGAUGAAGGGAGGACCAACUAUGGCACCAAAGGACCCCAGACGGGUUGCGAAGACCAUUGCUCCAGUACCACCUCCCCCAACGUCUGAGCUCGUAAAGCAACAGAAAAGUAGACUGAAGUAAAUCUUAUCUUGGCCUGUUCCAUAACCCGGAUUUGUGAUGUAUAGUGGGAUGUUCAGAGGACGUUUUUGAUUAAGAAUGAACAUUCAAUUUUCUUAAAAACAGAAUUUGCAAUAGUGUUCAUGAACAGUUUUAAAAUAUUUUGAUUUCUUGUUUAAUUUGGCACAGUUCUUGCCUCAGUAUUCUAGUUUCAUUAAUUUUGUGACUUAGUUUGGCUGAUUCCUGAAGGACAAAUGAAUCUAUACUGUGCUGUGGCAUCCAUCUGUCUGUCAGUUUUGAGAUCUUUAAUCAUCUUCAACAACACAAAGAUACUUAAUUUAAAUAUUUUUGCACAUAACAUGCUGUAAUGGAGUCAUUUCAUGUUUGUUACCACAAAGAAAUGACCUUCAAUUGCUUUUUAGAUGAUUUAGGUCAAAUUGUCUAAAUUUCCAAGUAACAUUUAGAAAAUCUGAAGACCCAUGAUGUCUGUUUUGUCUGUGGCAUACUGGGAUGCUGUCAAAUUUGAGCCAAUAUACAUAUAUGCUGUUUCAGCUUUUCAUUUUUAGGCUAACGCACUCGGUAUGCAUAGCCUAUUGUGACUGCCUUUCAGACAAAAUUUACCGAUCAUGGCCUUCUCAUUGGCUAAAAUAUCGAAAAGAGUU